rnacentral:rRNA from 1 species
AUUGAACGCUGGCGGCAGGCCUAACACAUGCAAGUCGAGCGGGAGGCGGACGGGUGUGUUAGGUAUGGGGACCGGACCGAUAGAGGGGGAUAAACACUGGAAACGGUGGCUAAUCCCGCAUACAAUCGGAUGAACCCAUAUGGGUUUAGCUAGUAGGUGGGGUAAAGGCACACCUAGGCGACGAUCUCGACCUGGUCUGAGAGGAUGAUCAGCCACACUGGGACUGAGACACGGUCCAGACUCCUACGGGAGGCAGCAGUUGGGAAUAUUGGACAAUGGGCGGAAGCCUGAUGCAGCCAUGCCGAGUGUGUGAAGAAGGCCUUCGGGUUGUAAAGCACUGUGUGCUUGGAGGCGGUACCCGCAGAAGAAGCUACGGCUAACUCCGUGCCAGCAGCCGCGGUAAUUC